AGAGUUUGAUCCUGGCUCAGGACGAACGCUGGCGGCGCGCUUAACACAUGCAAGUCGAACGGAGCUUGUUGGAUGAAGUUUUCGGAUGGAUGAAAAGAAGCUUAGUGGCGGACGGGUGAGUAACACGUGAGCAACCUGCCUUUCAGAGGGGGAUAACGUCUGGAAACGGACGCUAAUACCGCAUAACAUGGAAGAAGGACAUCCUUUUUUCAUCAAAGGAGGAAUCCGCUGAAAGAUGGGCUCGCGUCUGAUUAGAUAGUUGGCGGGGUAACGGCCCACCAAGUCAACGAUCAGUAGCCGGACUGAGAGGUUGAACGGCCACAUUGGGACUGAGACACGGCCCAGACUCCUACGGGAGGCAGCAGUGGGGGAUAUUGCACAAUGGGCGCAAGCCUGAUGCAGCGACGCCGCGUGGAGGAAGAAGGUUUUCGGAUUGUAAACUCCUGUCUUCAGGGACGAUAAUGACGGUACCUGAGGAGGAAGCCACGGCUAACUACGUGCCAGCAGCCGCGGUAAUACGUAGGUGGCAAGCGUUGUCCGGAAUUACUGGGUGUAAAGGGAGCGUAGGCGGGACAGCAAGUCCAGUGUGAAAUCUAUCGGCUCAACCGAUAGCUGCGCUGGAAACUGUGGUUCUUGAGUGAAGUAGAGGCAGGCGGAAUUCCUAGUGUAGCGGUGAAAUGCGUAGAUAUUAGGAGGAACACCAGUGGCGAAGGCGGCCUGCUGGACUUUUACUGACGCUGAGGCUCGAAAGUGUGGGUAGCAAACAGGAUUAGAUACCCUGGUAGUCCACACUGUAAACGAUGAUUACUAGGUGUGGGGGGGACUGACCCC
rnacentral:rRNA from 1 species